UUUUGAAUUUGGAGCGUUCUGAUUCGACGACAAAUCCAUCUUUCCGUGUCAGAUAAGGCUUCGACUAUCUAGUAGUUGUUUAUGACAGCUAUCGGCCAUUGCCGAUUUCGUACUAGACGAAAGCUUCAAAAUACUAAUUCGCUUUCAUACUUUAAAUGGUAUUUUCAGUAAUAAUUAAUGGUUCUGUUUUCAGGAGUGAUGUUGACCAGGACAAUCCUCAACAUGAAAAGUAUGCUACGUCUUUUAUGGGUUCUCUGAUCCAAGAACUUGAGUUAUAGGUACUGAUUUUAACCACAGAAGAGUUUUUUCUAACCAAAAUUAAACUUCAAGGUUGUAUUUGAGAUUUUUAGACAACGGUAUAACCAAAAUCCCCUGGCCCUGUUGAGAAUCAUUCGAGAUUGUAUGUGUUCGGAACAUAAACUUUUCCAUCAAGCUGAAUAUCUAAAUAAUUUAUCAGAUAUUUUUUUAAUCACACAUCUUUUUCAAAUAGGAAGUCAAGUUUACUAUGAGCCAAGACAUCUGUGGAGCUCCACCACCACCUCUUGUUUCUGGAUAUUCUCAACGAACCAAUCCAUUCAUUGAGCACAGGUCGUUGAUUCAGUUGGAUACUGAUCUAGUUCAGGAGUACGACACCAACAUUCUUAACCUGCGUUAGGCCCGAAGACUACAAACGUACCUUCACGUUUGAUUUGUCUUCUGUUGUUGGAGAAACCAAUCUGGCUAUUGUGCGGACACACCCUGGACCCAAAUUGUGGAUGGAGAUUCAGGAUGGAGUAGGUCCUACUGCUCCUCCUGUUCUGGGUCCCGUGUUUUUAGGCCAAACAAUUAUGCUGGUCUUUACUUUGGGUGACUAUGUUUUCAACUUCGACAAAAAAGUCUUGAAUUGUUGUGCAACUGAUGGGCUUGUGGGCUGAUUGAAUUGUUGGGCAACUGAUGGCCAAACCAGUCAGCCUCUUGUUCUUUAAGUCGCUCCUAGUCAAAGUGCUGCCCCAGCACGUCCUUUAGUCACACAGCUUCAAGUGAUUGACACUUCUUGCUCUGUUAAGCCUAAGCUCUUUGGAAAUUUCCAUAAAAUACAAGAGUCUACUCAUACGUUGAAAACCACAACUGAAUGGAUUCUCUUCAAGGCCUUCUGUUUCCCUAUUACCACGCGAGUGUUGAUUCAGUGUGACAUUCAAGUUUGCUUCGAAAAGUGUUAUCCCCAUAAACCUUGCAAUGUGCCUUAUAAUUCCCGGACUAAUCGUAAACGCAGUGCAGUUGUAAAUUCCACUGAUACUAGCAAAGAAGUCAAAAAGUCCUGAAAGGUUGUCCAUGUAUCGAGCUAUUGAAGUGUUCCUUCCGAAAGACGAGGAUAAUUUACCGAUGGCGGAGGUAAAUGGAUCCGUCGAUAUUCCCCGGACGGAUUGUUGGUCUCCUUCCAAUUUUUAUGGUGUCAUCCUGGGAUUGGGCAUCGUUCUUUUAAUAUAGAGUUAUAGUAGUUUGUCAGCAGUCUCCUCUGCACGUUAGGUGUUACUCAUGUGUGUUCGUGGUCUUCAAGACUCGGUUUUACUUUGUGGACUCUGACCUGGAGUUGGUCACGAUGUUGCUGACUGUCAGCAGCCAUAGUUAAAUAAAUACAGAAGCAACUAGAGUAGAAUAAAUACAUGGAAUAGACGGUUUUGAUCUGCAUCAGCUAUUGGUGUGGACAUGUUGGGGAAGUGAACUUGAAUGUCAGUAUGAAUUAUAUUUAAUGUUAUCAUCUGUAAUUUCUUACUGUGGUACCAAGGGUAAUAGAGUUUGAAACUUUUAAAAAUAUGGUUUUGCCUAGUUAGUGAAUUGACAGAAGCAUUUAUUAAUACGUCUAUGCUAGAAGCAUCCCUUUCGUUUUUGUAAAAUAUAUGUGAACUUAUAUUAAAAAAUC